AUGCCGGGAAUGCGCAGGCGCACUGUGAGAGACCGCAGGGCACGCUGGGCAGGGCUCGCUGGGCAGGGCCGCUCGGCCCUCUGCUGCUCCUGCCUGCCGGUUGCUAGGCGCUGGGACGCGCCUGCUGAAGCGUGCGGGGCUACAGGUGGCCUCCUUGGGGUGGGCCGCGCCUGACCGGGGCCGAGGACACCGCGGCUGCCGGGGCCUGCGAGAAGCAAUGGAACCCGGGAAGUUACAGAAUGAAAUCUGUUCGCCACUCCAACGUCUGGCACCCCUACCCACACUCCUCAUCUGUCAGCCGAGUCUAGAAAGGAAUCAGCCUGAGGUCAGCUCUGUCUACAAAGUAGACUCAGCGCAGUCCGCGUUUUAGGCAUCUGCCGCUUUGAUGUAGCAGCUCGAAGAUGGGACUUGAAUCUGCACAUACAUGCACACCGAAAACACGGGUGCUCCCUGCAUGGUCACCAGCCAGGGCCUAGGUGAGUGAAUUACGGUGACUGUGGGGAAUAACCUUGAAUUCAGCAAUGGAAACUGAUCAUCCUAGUUUUCUUAGUUUCUGUUUUCUUGGGAGCACUUUUCCUACCAGGGAGCGUCAGUUACACAGUCAGGUAAUAGAAUGAAGACCUGGAUAGGCUGCGUUUCAUAAUUUGGCCCUAAGUAAUUUGAUAACUUAAAAAUUAUAGUGUAAA